GAUGAAGAACGUAGCGAAAUGCGAUAAGUAAUGUGAAUUGCAGAAUUCAGUGAAUCAUCGAAUCUUUGAACGCACAUUGCGCCCGUCAGUAUUCUGGCGGGCAUGCCUGUUCGAGCGUCAUUACGCCCCUCAAGUCCCCUGUGGACUUGGUGUUGGGGAUCGGCGAGGCUGGUUUUCCAGCACAGCCGUCCCUUAAAUUAAUUGGCGGUCUCGCCGUGGCCCUCCUCUGCGCAGUAGUAAAACACUCGCAACAGGAGCCCGGCGCGGUCCACUGCCGUAAAACCCCCCAACUUUUUAUAGUUGACCUCGAAUCAGGUAGGACUACCCGCUGAACCUAAGCAUAUCAAUAAGCGGAGGA
rnacentral:misc_RNA from 1 species